GUGGGGAAUCUUGCGCAAUGGGCGAAAGCCUGACGCAGCCAUGCCGCGUGAAUGAUGAAGGUCUUAGGAUUGUAAAAUUCUUUCACCGGGGACGAUAAUGACGGUACCCGGAGAAGAAGCCCCGGCUAACUUCGUGCCAGCAGCCGCGGUAAUACGAAGGGGGCUAGCGUUGCUCGGAAUUACUGGGCGUAAAGGGCGCGUAGGCGGACAGUUUAGUCAGAGGUGAAAGCCCAGGGCUCAACCUUGGAAUUGCCUUUGAUACUGGCUGUCUUGAGUUUGGGAGAGGUGAGUGGAACUCCGAGUGUAGAGGUGAAAUUCGUAGAUAUUCGGAAGAACACCAGUGGCGAAGGCGACUCACUGGCCCGUUACUGACGCUGAGGCGCGAAAGCGUGGGGAGCAAACAGGAUUAGAUACCCUAGUAGUCC
rnacentral:rRNA from 1 species